UACGAAGGGGGCUAGCGUUGUUCGGAAUCACUGGGCGUAAAGGGCGCGUAGGCGGCGCUCCAAGUCAGGCGUGAAAGCCCCGGGCUCAACCCGGGAACCGCGCUUGGGACUGGAGGGCUCGAGUUCGGGAGAGGAUGGUGGAAUUCCCAGUGUAGAGGUGAAAUUCGUAGAUAUUGGGAAGAACACCGGUGGCGAAGGCGACCAUCUGGACCGACACUGACGCUGAGGCGCGACAGCGUGGGGAGCAAACAGGAUUAGAAACCCCUGUAGUCC
rnacentral:rRNA from 1 species